CCUACGGGAGACAGCAGUGGGGGAUAUUGCACAAUGGGGGAAACCCUGAUGCAGCGACGCCGCGUGGGUGAAGAAGCGCCUCGGCGCGUAAAGCCCUGUCAGCAGGGAAGAAAAUGACGGUACCUGAAGAAGAAGCCCCGGCUAACUACGUGCCAGCAGCCGCGGUAAUACGUAGGGGGCAAGCGUUAUCCGGAUUUACUGGGUGUAAAGGGGGCGCAGACGGCGGUGGAAGCCAGGAGUGAAAGCCCGGGGCCCAACCCCGGGACUGCUCUUGGAACUGCGUGGCUAGAGUGCAGGAGGGGCAAGCGGAAUUCCUGGUGUAGCGGUGAAAUGCGUAGAUAUCAGGAGGAACACCGGUGGCGAAGGCGGCCUGCUGGACUGCAACUGACGUUGAGGCCCGAAAGCGUGGGGAGCAAACAGGAUUAGAUACCCAUGUAGUC
rnacentral:rRNA from 1 species